UACAGAGGGUGCAAGCGUUGUUCGGAAUUAUUGGGCGUAAAGGGCGCGUAGGCGGUGCCACAAGUCACCUGUGAAAUCUCCGGGCUUAACUCGGAGCCUGCAGGCGAAACUGUGGUGCUGGAGUGUGGGAGAGGUGCGUGGAAUUCCCGGUGUAGCGGUGAAAUGCGUAGAUAUCAGGAGGAACACCUGUGGCGAAAGCGGCUCACUGGACCACAACUGACGCUGAGGCGCGAAAGCUAGGGGAGCAAACAGG
rnacentral:rRNA from 1 species